AUGCACACACCUGGACUGCCUUCGCUCCCGGCUCAUGUAAGCUCUUAUGCCUUUUUACCUGGCUAUUUUAAUGUCCUUCUAAAAGGGUUCCCAGCUCAAUUCUCACCCUCCUUGAUUCCUUCCUCUACUCAGCUGCCAAAGUGUUUUUCUUACAACCCAACUCUGACAUUGUUAGCCCCACUCCUAAGUCAGCAAGCGCGUGCACGCGCACACACACACACACAUGUGAUUCAGUCACACUGGUCUACUUGCUACUCCUCUAACAAUACACUCAGUUUCCUGUUUCCAGGCCUUUUGCUUAUAUGCUUAGAAUGCUUUCUCUUCUCCAGCCCUGCCUGUGAGCUGCUUUGCCUUUCUCUAAGACUCAGCUCAAAUCCUACCUUCUGCAGGAGUCCUUUCUUAAUCCUUGUCUCUCUUGUUUGCUUCUCUCUUCCUUCCUUCCUCCCUCACUUCCUUCCUCCCUCACUUCCUUCCUCUCUCCCUUCCUUCCUUCCUUCCUUCCUUCCUUCCUUCCUUCCUUCCUUCCUUCCUUCCUUCCUUCCUUCCUUCCUUCCUUCCUUCCUCCCUCCCUCCCUCCUUCUCUCUCUUUUCUCUUUCUUUCUUUCUUUCUUUCUUUCUUUCUUUCUUUCUUUCUUUUUUUGGUGUGGAUAGUAUUAUUCCUAGCUUGCUGGUAGGUCUGAACAAUGUCAUUUUUCCAAAUGAGUUUAAGAGGAAUGAGAUCUAAGGGGCUUCUAUGAUUCCUUUGCAAUGUCUGGAACUCCCUUCCAAGGUUACCAGAAGGAAAAGAUUCAUAAGACCCCAAAUGAGGCUCAACAGUAGAGAAGAGUUGAUCAAUAUCCUUCUAUCACUGAUGAAGAAUUUGAGGAGACCUUAAAUGGGGUGGAAAUUGCAGUAUUUCACUGUGUGUGUGUGUGUGUGUGUGUGUGUGUGUGUGUGUGUGUGUGUGUGUGUAUGUGUGUUGUGGACUCCUUUAGUAGGCUGGUGCAAUCUAUGGAUCACUUCUCAGAAGAAUAGUUUGCUAUCUACAUUCAUAAAAGAAGGAGAUGUUAAAUUUCAAUUAGAAAUUAUGAAUAAAAUAUGUAUUUUUUCCUCA
rnacentral:lncRNA from 1 species